AUGUAUACUGAAUGACCUAAAAACAAGAAUUGCCUUUUUUUUUUAGGUGGUGCUGAUUUGUGCAGCCACAUAUAAUUUGAUGUUGGGAAUUGGCAUGAUCUGCUUCUCUAUUUUCAGACUUUCCCUGAUAAGUGGAAACCCCUUUUGGGCAGCAGUAGCUGUAAGUACCACUUCAGUUUUAGUCAACUGGUUUAAUGUUUCAAUGUUAUAAUUUUUGUUAUUAUUAUUACAUGUAUGUAAUUAUUUUGUAGUAUAUCAUUACAGGAAGUAUAACCCUUGCAGCUUACUCUAAGCCAUCCAUUUGUCAGGUGAGAGGUUCUCUUGCUAUGAACGUUGUAAGUGCUGUCAUGAGUGGUGUUGGCAUUAUUUUUGCCUGCCUGGAUCUAGUAGCGUUGUCAUCUCUGAGGUGUAGAGACCAAAGCUCAUACUACUGCACAAAUAAUACUGGUGGCAUUGUUGUGCAUGCUCUGAUUCUGGUCAACAACCUGCUAAUCCUCUGUGUGUCCAUAUUUAUUGGUGUUUUUGGAUGCCUCUCCCUAGGCCAUGAUCCAAGUGUUCAACAGGUA